GAAAAAAAUCAAUCAGCCAGACAUGAGUGUAGCUUUGCAUCAGAUGCUGCUGCUGCUGGUCCAGGAGCCACUCUGAGAGCCACCAACAUGGAGUCAUCACUGGCUGGAGUCUACCUGCUACAAGGAAGAAUCAUUGUGGCAUGUGGGACGCUGCCUCAGCGUGGUUGAUUCGAACCAGCGAAACACUGGGCCGCCUGCAGCGGGGUGCGCGAACUUAACCACUCGGCCACGGGGCCAGCCCCUUAAGGUCACCCCUCCUGAUACGUAUAAUCAUUGUGUGCAUAUUUUGAAAAAUCCUGGUUAUUUCAAAGUGGGCAAACAGGCAUUCCCUGAGCCCUCCAGUGGCUCCUGCCCUCACUGCCCCAGCCCUCCUCGACCUCCUCGACCUCAGCCGGAUCCAGCAGCUCCAGAACUGGCCCCCUGCCCCAACAGGGACUCACCAGCACCUGGCUCUUUUGUGCAGACCAGCGUUAGUUGAGAUUG
rnacentral:lncRNA from 1 species